rnacentral:rRNA from 1 species
GGGAGUACGGUCUGUCAAGGUCUAAUGACGUCUAAUGGAAUUGAUCGGGGGCCCGCACAAGCGGCGGAGCAUGUGGAUUAAUUCGAUGCAACGCGAAGAACCUUACCUGGGUUUGACAUGCACUAGGACGCGUACUAGAGAUAGGCGUUCCCCUUGUGGCCUGUGUGCAGGUGGUGCAUGGCUGUCGUCAGCUCGUGUCGUGAGAUGUUGGGUUAAGUCCCGCAACGAGCGCAACCCUUGUCUCAUGUUGCCAGCACGUGAUGGUGGGGACUCGUGAGAGACUGCCGGGGUCAACUCUGGAGGAAGGUGGGGAUGACGUCAAGUCAUCAUGCCCCUUAUGGUCCAGGGCUUCACACAUGCUACAAUGGCCGGUACAAAGGGCUGCGAUGCCGUGAGGUGGAGCGAAUCCUUGGUAAAGCCGGUCUCAGUUCGGAUCGGGGUCUGCAACUCGACCCCGUGAAGUCGAGUCGCUAGUAAUCGCAGAUCACAAUGUGCGGUGAUACGUUC